GGUCUAGUAGUUAAGCGGUUAUAACAUGAUGCUUUCACCAUUGAAGCGGGGGUUCAACUCCCCUCUAGACCA
rnacentral:tRNA from 1 species